GAAAAUGGUGCUGAUUUUGAAAAGAAGGAAAUGCUGGAUUGUUGUAGUAGUCUCCAAAUGAAUUUUUUUGGUCCGAGAAAAGGUAGAGGUAUAACUGCCACACACGAUAUAAAAUCAGGAACAUUUCUGCUGCGGUACUCUGGCGAACUCAUUACAAGUGAUGAGGGUGACCGUAGAGGGCUCCAGUACAAAAAAAGGCAACUGGGCAACUAUCUAUAUUUUUUUUCCCACCGUGGAAAAGAAUGCUGCAUUGAUGCCACUUCAGAAGUGUGCCUGGCGAGACUAGUGAAUG